GGCCAUGCCGGGCGACGGAGCGGGAUCGGACAUGGGGUGAUGGCCUCAUGAAUUGAUGUCUCCAGCAGCACUGCUCAGUGGGUGACAAAUGGGAUGCAUCCCCAUCAGGGCAUAAAGAACAUCCAAAGGUGGAGCAGGCAACCAAGCCUGUCCCAGGGAGGCACUGAGCAGACAUGGACCCAGAGGCCCCAGAGACCAGCUGGGGUGCCAGGGCAGAGAUGAUUGUCGGGAAAUUGGUUUGAAGCAGCCUCAGCGUUUGCAAAGCCACUACAUCGCCCUGCUGGAAGCUGUUCUUUGUCACCGUAUCUGCAGAAGCCUUCACCGCAGAGAUGCUGUGCUCCGCUCGCCGCCUGCAGGCAGUGCCUCCCCGCUCCCCCCUGCGUGGCCUGCCUGCUCCCAGAUGUUUCUUCCCUCCUGCCCGGCUGCACAGAGCUUCGUCCUUCUGCGUAGGCUCCAUGGCUCUGCAGCGCUCAGCAGGACAUGGUCCUCACCCAGUGCUGGGAGCCCCGAACCGAGCUGAGCCACGUUUGGGUCAGUGACUCCAGAGGUGUUUUGUGCUGCUUGCCCUGCCGGUGCUGCCUUCGGGCACGAGGUGCCGGUUCACCCUCGAACGCGCGUCCAUCAUCCCACCCGGCCCAGCGCAGGGCGACAAACCGAACUGCGGCGUCAAACCCGAUCUGGCGCGGGCAGAGCUGUGUCAGUGUCUGCCGUGGGAGCAGAAGCCAUCACAUGAGUAUAAAUCCUUCCUCCUCCG
rnacentral:lncRNA from 1 species